AGCGCGCUGCCUUCUGGGCACACCGAUGCCCGCCCUUCCCUCGCUGGCUCCCAGGCGGCCUCCCUAGAAGCGGCAACUGAGAAGGCACAGCACCGGGACCACCCCAUCCCUGAUGGAGAGCUCCCCUCGCUCCCCAAAGGCUGCAAAGAAAGCGCGCCCCAGACAGGAUCUCCGUAUGUUGCCCAAGCUGGUCGCAAACUCCUGGACUCAAGCAAUCCUCCUACCUCGGCCUCCUGAAGUGUUGGGAUUACAGGCAUGAGCCACUGUGCACAGCAAGAGCUUUAAUCUUAAUGACCAUUCAUUCUCUACCCCACAUUACCUACAACUGAUACAGAUUGCCUGCUCCUGCAGAGGGCUGCUGCCAUGUCAUGAGCACUCUCAAGCAGCUCUAGCGAGGGGUCAUGUCACGAGGAACUGAGACCUUCUGCCAAUAGCUGUGUGAAUGAGCCAUCAUGGAGGCAGGUCCUCCAGCCCCAGUCAAGCCUUCAGAUGAUGGCAGCCCCAGCUGAUGAUUUGACUGCAAACUCUCAUGCAACCAGGAAUAAGAACCACUCAGCAGAACCACUCCCAAUUUCCUGACCCACAGAAACUGUGAGAUAAAUAAAUAUUGUUUUAAGCUGC